GUUUCCAUACGUCCUUGUCAUUGUACGACUGGCCGUCUAAUGUGCAGCUAUUGAAUAAGCCUGCGAAUGAAAGACCAAGAGGAGCACAAUUGACUCUGGACUAACUGGAUUUUGUUUACGCACCUACUGGAAUGUCCAGAUGGCAAGACUUCACAAUAGUCUACAAGACUACAGCUGGUCUUUCUCCUGUGGCCAUUGUCAGAGUGUGCAAGACUAAGACAUGAAAGCUCAGACCACGGUGCCCAGGAUAUCCAUCUCUCUUAGAGGUUGUGACUUGCAGUGUCUGUGCAGUGCCCUUCAUUUCGCCUGAGUGUUGAGACAGGAGCCACUGUUAUAGAAAAUUAUCCAACACCUUCAUAAUCAACCAAUCAGAAUUGAGGAUUCUACAGCACUGUGAACGUGUAC